rnacentral:rRNA from 1 species
GACGAACGCUGGCGGCGUGCUUAACACAUGCAAGUCGAACGGAAAGGCCCUGCUUGCAGGGUACUCGAGUGGCGAACGGGUGAGUAACACGUGGGUGAUCUGCCCUGCACUUCUGGGUAAGCCUUGGGAACUGGGGCUAAUACCGGAGAGGAGCGAUUUUGAGGGUGGUGGUUGGAUAGUUUUUUCGGUGUGGGGUGAGCGCGCGGCCUAUCAGCUUGUUGGUGGGGUAAUGGCCUACCAAGGCGGCGACGGGUAGCCGGCCUGAGGGGGUGGACGGCCAACAUGGGAAUGAGAUACGGCCCAGAACCCUACGGGGGGCAGCAGUGGGGAAUAUUGCCACAUGGGGGCAAGCCUGAUGCAGGGAAGCCGCGUGGGGGAAGACCGCCUUCGGGUUGGAAAACCGCUUCGCUAGGGACGAAGCUGUUUGUGACGGUAACUAGAUAAGAAGCACCGGCUAACUACGUG